AUGAACGCUGGCGGCGUGCCUAAUACAUGCAAGUCGCGCGAACAGACGAGGAGCUUGCUCCUCUGACGUUAGCGGCGGACGGGUGAGUAACACGUGGAUAACCUACCUAUAAGACUGGGAUAACUUCGGGAAACCGGAGCUAAUACCGGAUAAUAUAUUGAACCGCAUGGUUCAAUAGUGAAAGACGGUUUUGCUGUCACUUAUAGAUGGAUCCGCGCCGCAUUAGCUAGUUGGUAAGGUAACGGCUUACCAAGGCAACGAUGCGUAGCCGACCUGAGAGGGUGAUCGGCCACACUGGAACUGAGACACGGUCCAGACUCCUACGGGAGGCAGCAGUAGGAAAUCUUCCGCAAUGGGCGAAAGCUUGACGGAGCAACGCCGCGUGAGUGAUGAAGGUCUUCGGAUCGUAAAACUCUGUUAUUAGGGAAGAACAAAUGUGUAAGUAACUAUGCACGUCUUGACGGUACCUAAUCAGAAAGCCACGGCUAACUACGUG
rnacentral:rRNA from 1 species